rnacentral:rRNA from 1 species
GAUGAACGCUAGCGGCAGGCUUAAUACAUGCAAGUCGAGGGGCAUCAAGGUACACGAAAGUGUAUUGUUGGCGACCGGCGGACGGGUGAGUAAUAGGUAGGUAACCUACCUCAUACUGAGGCAUAGCUGGGAGAAAUUCCAGGUAAUUCCUCAUGAGGUUAUAUGACACAUGUGAUAUAAUCAAAGGUAUCGCAAGGUACUGGUAUGAGAUGGGCUUACUGACCAUUAGCUAGUUGGUGAGAUAAGAGCUCACCAAGGCGAAGAUGGUUAGGGGUUUUGAGAGAGAGAUCCCCCACAUUGGAACUGAGAUACGGUCCAGACUCCUACGGGAGGCAGCAGUAGGGAAUAUUGGGCAAUGGGCGGAAGCCUGACCCAGCCAUGCCGCGUGAAGGGAAGACGGCCUUAUGGGGUUGUAAACUUCUUUUACUAUGCGACUAACUAGAUUUACGAGAUAAUUCUAUAGAAUGUAGCAUAGCAAAAGCACCGG